CCCCCCACCAUGAGGGAUAAUGCGCGUUGAUUGGCUUUUCGUCCUAUCGCUCUUGACUGUGACCAAUCAGAGCCACAAGCGGUGACCAGACGGGCCGGGUGGGGGCGGGGCCUCGCCGCUCGGUGCCCAGCGUGGUGGGGCGCUGAGGUACUUCCCGCCCUCACUGCGCCGCAGCAGCUGAUAGUCUGUCCCUUCGCACCUCUUCUCCACCGGGAGAGCCCCCGGGAAAGCCAUUUUUCUUCCCAAAGGGAAACUUAGGCCAGUUUCCCAGAGGGUCUGAUGGCACGAAAAGGCUGAGGAGCCUCAAGGCUGGCCCAGUGCCUCUGAGAAGCGGGUGAAGUCAUGGCCUGUUGCUUUGAUAAGAGGUGCUGUUCUCCUCCUGUUGGCUUCAGAGUGCUGUAAAAGAAGCGCCGAUUCAGAAUUACAGAAGUGGUGAGAAGAAAAAGGAGACGUCAAGUAGUGCAGAGAGACAGAAACUCAGAUAUUAAACUUUCAGAUGGAAUGAGUGCCCAUGUGCAAGCUUUGGUAGCAGAACAGCUUCAGGGGUUGGCCUUCGUGAGAAGAGACCUCCAUCUCCAACAGAGCCAGUGAUCUCUGAAAUACACCUGCUGCAGGAUAAAGAUCGAAAAGAAAUAUCUUCCUGGCAGCACUGCGUAUGGAAGGAAUAAGGAAAGUAACAAGGAGAAAGUUGCGCGCAUUUACAACAUGAAGAUGCUAUUCAAGGUCAGAAGAAGAAGGUCUUCUAUCUACGUAGAAGGAGGUGGAGACCAUAUAAACACUCAUUGAAAGAGACCCAUGAAGAAAACAGAAGUAGGGGAAAGCACUACAGCUGGAAAAUAAAUCUUGACAAUCCUCCAUUCUUGCUGUCAGACAACACCAGAAGCACACUGGCUUCAAGCAGUCCAGUAUCAAAGUGGAUUUGGAGAUUUGGCUAUUGAUUUCUCCUCUCUGUGUCUCAGAUGGAAGAGGUGGAGCAGUUGAGUUCUUCCUUAUUCUCCUCUCUACUGGGAGAUGGUUGGAAGUACAAAGAGGGGAAAAAUAACCGGUGAAUACGUAACAGGAACAACUCGUUCUUGGAUUCAGAGCUGUCUGUGGACAAUCUGUAAGCCAGUGUUUUAAGUAAAAUAUGUGACUAAUGAUCCCUAUGAGGAGCAUGAAGUAAUUAAUACCUGGAGGUGAUAUACAAGGCUGAGGGAAAGUGGGAUGAAG
rnacentral:lncRNA from 1 species